rnacentral:rRNA from 1 species
AGGGUUUGAUCCUGGCUCAGGAUGAACGCUGGCGGCGUGUCUAAGGCAUGCAAGUCAAACGAAUCCUUUUUAGGAUAAAGUGGCAAACGGGUGAGUAACACAUUAAUAAUCUGCCCUUGAGACGAGGAUAACUUUGUGAAAACAAAGCUAAUACUCGAUGGUCUCACACCCUUUGAAGGGGUUUGAGUAAAGCUUUUGCGCUCAAGGAGGAGUUUAUGGCUCAUCAGGUAGUUGGUAAGGUAAAGGCUUACCAAGCCUAUGACGAGUAGCGGGUGUUAGAGCACUGCCCGCCUCAUUGGAACUGAGACACUGUCCAACCUCCUACGGGAGGCUGCAGUUAAGAAUCUUCCUCAAUGGCCGAAAGGCUGAAGGAGCAACGCCGCGUGCAUGAAGACGCUCUUCGGAGUGUAAAGUGCUUUUCUGAAGGAAAAAGCUUUUUAGUUGAUGGUACUUCAGGAAUAAGCCGCCGCUAACUUCGUGCCAGCAGCUGCGGUAAUACGGAGGCGGCAAGCGUUAUCCGGAUUCACUGGGCAUAAAGGGUACGUAGGCGGUUUAGCAAGUUUUUGGUUAAAGCCUUUUGCUUAACAUUAGGACUGCCAAGAAAACUGCUAAACUAGAGGCCGGAAGAGGUAAGCGGAACUGCCGGUGUAGGGGUUAAAUCCGUUAAUAUCGGCAGGAACACCAAAAGCGAAGGCAGCGCACUGGGAAUGUACUGACGCUCAUGGACGAAAGCGUGGGGAGCGAACGGGAUUAGAUACCCCGGUAGUCCACGCCGUAAACGAUGGAUACUCGGUGUCAGGGGACUCGACCCCUCUGGUGCCCAAGCUAACGCAUUAAGUAUCCCGCCUGGGGAGUACGGUCGCAAGAUUAAAACUCAAAGGAAUUGACGGGGACCCACACAAGCGGUGGAGCAUCUGGCUUAAUUCGAUAAUGAGCGAGGAACCUCACCUAGGCUUGACAUCCCGAGAAUUUUCUAGAAAUAGAAAAGUGCCUUCUGGAACUCGGUGACAGGUGCUGCAUGGUUGUCGUCAGCUCGUGCCUUGAGGUGUUCGGUUAAGUCCGUGAACGAGCGCAACCCAUGUCCUGUGUUGUUUUUUCACAGGAGACUGCCGAUUCAAAGUCGGAGGAAGGUAUGGACAACGUCAAAUCAGCAUGGCCCUUAUGCCUAGGGCUGCACAGGUGCUACAAUGGCCAAUACAGUAGGUAGCAAUAUCGUAAGAUGGAGCCAAUCCUUAAAGUUGGUCUAAGUUCGGAUUGAGGGCUGCAAUUCGCCCUCAUGAAGUUGGAAUCGCUAGUAACCGUGAAUCAGCAAUAUCACGGUGAAUAUGUUCCUGGGUCUUGUACUCACCGCCCGUCACACUACGGAAGGUGGAGGCGCCCGAAGUACCCUUAGCUUUGAGCGGGGUCCUAAGGUGAAAUCACUGACUGGAGUGAAGUCGUAACAAGGUAGCCGAA